rnacentral:misc_RNA from 1 species
AGCUGUUCCCCUCUGGAGGUUUUUACCUUCAAAACUAUAAAGGGCCCAAGUUUAUCUUGCGGCCCUCUUUUUUUGCCCUG